GAUGAACGCUGGCGGCGUGCCUAAUACAUGCAAGUCGAGCGAACAGACGAGGAGCUUGCUCCUCUGACGUUAGCGGCGGACGGGUGAGUAACACGUGGAUAACCUACCUAUAAGACUGGGAUAACUUCGGGAAACCGGAGCUAAUACCGGAUAUAUAUUGAACCGCAUGGUUCAAUAGUGAAAGACGGUUUUGCUGUCACUUAUAGAUGGAUCCGCGCCGCAUUAGCUAGUUGGUAAGGUAACGGCUUACCAAGGCAACGAUGCGUAGCCGACCUGAGAGGGCGAUCGGCCACACUGGAACUGAGACACGGUCCAGACUCCUACGGGAGGCAGCAGUAGGGAAUCUUCCGCAAUGGGCGAAAGCCUGACGGAGCAACGCCGCGUGAGUGAUGAAGGUCUUCGGAUCGUAAAACUCUGUUAUUAGGGAAGAACAAAUGUGUAAGUAACUAUGCACGUCUUGACGGUACCUAAUCAGAAAGCCACGGCUAACUACGUG
rnacentral:rRNA from 1 species